GUCCAGGGAUGGGAAUCGAACCCACAGUGUUCCGCUUACCGGGCAGAUGCCAUGACCACUAGGCUACCCUGGA